rnacentral:rRNA from 1 species
CUACGGGACGCACCAGUGAGGAAUAUUGCACAAUGGGGGGAACCCUGAUGCAGCAACGCCGCGUGGAGGAUGACGCAUUUCGGUGUGUAAACUCCUUUUGUAUGUCAAGAAAAUGACGGUAGCAUAUGAAUAAGCACCGGCUAACUCCGUGCCAGCAGCCGCGGUAAUACGGAGGGUGCAAGCGUUACUCGGAAUCACUGGGCGUAAAGGACGCGUAGGCGGGUUGGAAAGUCAGGUGUGAAAUCCUACAGCUUAACUGUAGAACUGCACUUGAAACUUCUAAUCUAGAGUAUGGGAGGGGGAGGUGGAAUUAGUGGUGUAGGGGUAAAAUCCGUAGAUAUCACUAGGAAUACCUAAAGCGAAGGCGAUCUCCUGGAACAUUACUGACGCUAAGGCGUGAAAGCGUGGGGAGCAAACAGGAUUAGAUACCCCAGUAGUC